GUACCCCUUUCCCUUUUCUUUAUAGUAUUGGUUCUGAAUUUAUGGGUACUUAUUGGGGUAAAGGGAGCAGAGAAAAUUUUAGCUGACACAACCCUGUUACUUUGUAGAAGGAGGAUUACUAAGUUGAGUUCAAUUGAAGGUGGGAUUUCAGUGUCAGAAGGAUUGUUGCUCUUCUUGAAAGUGGCAUGGCAGUGUGGGAAAAAAACUCCUGUAUCUUGAUCCUUCCAUGGGCUCAUAAUUAUUGCUGCUUUGUGAAAUAUCUAUCUGCGUUUUCUGAACUGGCUGUUGUUUGCAUUCUGUAUGGGGAAUGUGUGGUUCUUUUCUAAUUAAUUUUCUAACUCAUGUUUUUUCCUGGAGGAUAUGCCCCUAGAUAUAUAGGGAUUGCUGUUGCAAUAGUGAGAUCAAGUUGUUUCUAUUUGUUAUACUGAGGGUUAAAGUUUACUACGUUAGUGAUAGCCACUAUUAUGAGACUUUCAGGUUGGGUUUCAGUCCUAAUGUGAUAAACCGUAAUCUGCUUGGAUGACAAUUGUGUGUAACUGUCAGUACAUGCUUUACCAUAUUGACUAGGGAUUUGAAUUUUGGUCAUCUGUUUUCCUGUGCUGAAAUUCUCAGGACCCAUCGUUACCCACUUCUUACUUUCUAAGUUUGGCAUCCAUUGGUAAGACCAGUAUUAAGUGAUGAACAGUGAUUGGAAACCAUGGAUGUCUCAACUCAGGGAAUAUUCUUUAUGGACUUCUGAAAGAAAAAAAGUCUCUACUAUUACCUUAAUCGGAAGGAAAUCUCAUCAGUCAUGCAUAAUUCGUUGGGGAGCUCUGUUAUAGAUUCUUUGGAUGCUAUUGGCUUUGUGGAUCCUAGAUUGGGCUAGUCAUUCUUUUUGAUAAUAAAGUUUUCUGCAAUAAUAAGAGUAGCUCCCCUGGAAUUUUGAUAAAACUUCUUGAAGUUCUUCCCUCGCUUGCUUCACAUUUGGUGAUGAUACCACUUAUUGUUUAGACUAUUUUGCCAAUGCUUCAUAAAGAAGCAAAACCGUUUGUUCUCCAUCCGUUUUGUUUUUAUGGUUUACAUUACCUGAUUUAUUCUGAUGGGCAAUCGUCCAUGUGUUAUGAAUGCCACUUAUUGUCCAGACUGUUUUGCCAAUGCUUCAUAAAGAAGCAAAACCGUAUGUGCUCCAUCUGUUUUGUUUUUAUGGUUUACAUUACCUGAUUUAUUCUGAUGGGCAGUCGUCCAUGUGUUAUGAAUGGCUGUGAGGUGUGAACAAAGUAUUUAUUUCUGAUUUUUUCCUAUAGCA